rnacentral:rRNA from 1 species
CCUACGGGCGGCAGCAGUGGGGAAUAUUGCACAAUGGGGGAAACCCUGAUGCAGCGACGCCGCGUGAGUGAAGAAGUAUCUCGGUACGUAAAGCUCUAUCAGCAGGGAAGAAAAUGACGGUACCUGACUAAGAAGCCCCGGCUAACUACGUGCCAGCAGCCGCGGUAAUACGUAGGGGGCAAGCGUUAUCCGGAUUUACUGGGUGUAAAGGGAGUGUAGACGGCAGCAGAAGUCUGGAGUGAAAUCCCGGGGCUUAACCCCGGAACUGCUUUGGAAACUGUGAGGCUGGAGUGCUGGAGAGGAAAGUGGAAUGUCUAGUGUAGCGGUGAAAUGCGUAGAUAUUAGGAGGAACACCAGUGGCGAAGGCGACUUUCUGGACAGUAACUGACGUUGAGGCACGAAAGUGUGGGGAGCAAACAGGAUUAGAUACCCUAGUAGUC